rnacentral:rRNA from 1 species
UACAGAGGUCUCGAGCGUUGUUCGGAUUCAUUGGGCGUAAAGGGUGCGUAGGUGGCGCCGUAAGUCGGGUGUGAAAUUUCGGAGCUUAACUCCGAAACUGCAUUCGAUACUGCGGUGCUUGAGGACUGGAGAGGAGACUGGAAUUCAUGGUGUAGCAGUGAAAUGCGUAGAGAUCAUGAGGAAGACCAGUGGCGAAGGCGGGUCUCUGGACAGGUCCUGACACUGAGGCACGAAGGCCAGGGGAGCAAACGGG